rnacentral:rRNA from 1 species
UACGGGGGGGGCAAGCGUUGUUCGGAAUUACUGGGCGUAAAGGGCGCGUAGGCGGCCUUCUAAGUCGGACGUGAAAUCCCUCGGCUUAACCGAGGAACUGCGUCCGAUACUGAAAGGCUUGAAUCCGGGAGAGGGAUGUGGAAUUCCAGGUGUAGCGGUGAAAUGCGUAGAUAUCUGGAGGAACACCGGUGGCGAAGGCGGCGACCUGGGUUGACACUGACGCUGAGGCGCGAAAGCGUGGGGAGCAAACAGG